rnacentral:lncRNA from 1 species
CUCAGCCACACCCCUGCCUCCUGGAGAAAUUUCUCAAAAGAUUAAGGAACUCAUUCAGCUGUUGCCAUACGUGUUUAUCGUCAAAAGAAACUGUGCCAAAGUUCUGGGUAUUAUAAUAUCAAUAGGGAGAGGUUCCCACCCGUGCCUCUGGCUUUUCCCCUCACACCUUUCACCUGCUAUGCCUGAGUGGAUGACUUUGCACGAGCUACUCCCUGAUUCUGGUCCCAGGCCCUCCUUUGCAAAACAAAGGACACAACAGAUCAGAGAGUGUAAGACAGAAAACAUCACGGCUCUUCAAGAAAGAUGCAGUGUGCAGUGGUGUCUGUAAGAGGAAGAAACAAAACAACCUAGAGAUGGGUCCCUAGGGGAGAUGGAUGGAGGCAUUGUGUCAAAACCAUUCCACGAAAUGCUUCCCAGGAGUUAAAUGAACCAGAGCUGCAAGCAUAGACAUGAAUAAAUCUCAUAAACUGAAGAAAAAAGGUCAGUGGCAGAAAGAUACGUGGAUGUCAUGUGCUGCCCUGUGUAUAAAGUUUUUAAACCUGCAAAAGAAUAUUUUCCCAAAUAAGUGUGUGGAUGCACAAAUAUGCAACAAAAGAAUAAAAAGGUGUCUCAGAAUAUUAACUGUACAAGAGUGGUUCCCUGGGGGAAGGAGGGAGGGAGGAACAUGACAUCUGCGAAGGGACCCCACAACCCAGUCAAGAAGGUUUUAUUUCUCUAAAUAAAU